rnacentral:sRNA from 1 species
UUAAUUGGCCACCAAAGAAGACCACAAACCAAAAAUCUAUGGAUAACGGAUAGAGGAAAUGCAAUAGGUUGGAAACCAAAUGGAUGUGUUCCGAGUUAUGGGAUCUUCGAUUGAUAUGCACUAUGGUGAUCGGAUAACAGUCUCGAUAUAUGCAAGAGUUCGAGUUUUUCAGAGUAAGCCCCGAAGUAUGCAUGGUCAUCCAGUCCGGAAACAUGUUCGUGUAUCACGCUGUUGCAUGUCACUUCACCUACGAUAUUUUAAGCAAAUACAUAUCAUCCAGAAAAUCAAGGUCUUCCACUUCACACAUAUCGUGGACCAUAGUAAAGUAAGAGGGUCUGCUAAAACGGCUACAAACUUUAAAAGAAAUAAGAAAUUUUUAUAUUGCUAGUUUAAACUUCAAGAAAGAACAUAAAUACUAGUGCCGUUAAAGAACUAUCAUGAAAUGUUUUCGAUUUGGCUAAACUAGCAUCAACCAAAAACACACCAUUGUUAAUAGUUCGGCUUUUAGCCAUUUGCCAUAACCAGACUACCCGCAGCAACCAACCGAGCACAAAAUUCAACAGAACGCCGCAAACCUGGCAUGACAAGUGCAGUAGUCAUAGUGCCAGUGGUUAUAUCAGCAACGAUACUGAGAACGAUAGCAAAAAAACUUUGGCCAGCAUCAAAUAACACUGCAAAUUUGUUUUAAAAAACAAACCAAAGCAAAAUUCUGUAGCCAAAAUCCAAAUAAAAAAGUGCAAAAAAUGCAAUUAAGCUCAAUGGCCACUCCACCAUUGACUUAAAAUUUAAA